AACGAUGCAGUGGUAGGGGAGCGUUCUAAGUGCAGCGAAGUCAGACCGUAAGGACUGGUGGAGCGCUUAGAAGUGAGAAUGCCGGUAUGAGUAACGAAAAGACAAGUGAGAAUCUUGUCCGCCGAAAAUCUAAGGUUUCCUGGGGAAGGUUCGUCCGCCCAGGGUUAGUCGGGACCUAAGCCGAGGCCGAAAGGCGUAGGCGAUGGACAACAGGUCGAAAUUCCUGUACCACCUUAAACCGCUUGAGCAAUGGGGUGACGCAGCAGGGUAGGGAGAGCGUGCGACUGGAAGUGCACGUCCAAGCAGUGAGGCUGAAGAAUAGGCAAAUCCGUUCUUCAUGAAGGCUAGGCUGUGAUGGCGAGUGAAAAUAAUAGUAGCGAAGUCCCUGAUCUCACACUGCCAAGAAAAGCCUCUAGCGAGGUUGAAGGUGCCCGUACCGCAAACCGACACAGGUAGAUGAGGAGAGAAUCCUAAGGCGCUCGGGAGAACUCUCGUUAAGGAACUCGGCAAAAUGACCCCGUAACUUCGGGAGAAGGGGUGCUCUUUACCGUGAAUAGCGGAAGAGAGCCGCAGUGAAAAGGUCCAAGCGACUGUUUAGCAAAAACACAGGUCUCUGCGAAGCCGCAAGGCGAAGUAUAGGGCUGACGCCUGCCCGGUGCUGGAAGGUUAAGGGGAGAGGUUAUCCAAUAGGAGAAGCUUUGAACCGAAGCCCCAGUAAACGGCGGCCGUAACUAUAACGGUCCUAAGGUAGCGAAAUUCCUUGUCGGGUAAGUUCCGACCCGCACGAAAGGCGUAACGACUUGGACACUGUCUCAACGAGAGACCCGGUGAAAUUGUAAUACCAGUGAAGAUGCUGGUUACCCGCGACAAGACGGAAAGACCCCAUGGAGCUUUACUGUAGCUUGAUAUUGGAUUUUGGUACAGUUUGUACAGGAUAGGUGGGAGCCAGAGAAGCCGGACCGCUAGGUUCGGUGGAGGCAACGGUGGGAUACCACCCUGACUGUAUUGGAAUUCUAACCUACGCCCGUGAUCCGGGUGAGGAACAGUGUCAGGUGGGCAGUUUGACUGGGGCGGUCGCCUCCUAAACAGUAACGGAGGCGCCCAAAGGUUCCCUCAGAAUGGUUGGAAAUCAUUCGAAGAGUGUAAAGGCAAAAGGGAGCUUGACUGCGAGACCUACAAGUCGAGCAGGGACGAAAGUCGGGCUUAGUGAUCCGGUGGUUCCGCAUGGAAGGGCCAUCGCUCAACGGAUAAAAGCUACCCUGGGGAUAACAGGCUUAUCUCCCCCAAGAGUCCACAUCGACGGGGAGGUUUGGCACCUCGAUGUCGGCUCAUCGCAUCCUGGGGCUGAAGUAGGUCCCAAGGGUUGGGCUGUUCGCCCAUUAAAGCGGUACGCGAGCUGGGUUCAGAACGUCGUGAGACAGUUCGGUCCCUAUCUGUCGCGGGCGCAGGAAAUUUGAGAGGAGCUGUCCUUAGUACGAGAGGACCGGGAUGGACACACCGCUGGUGUACCAGUUGUUCCGCCAGGAGCAUAGCUGGGUAGCUACGUGUGGAAGGGAUAAGCGCUGAAAGCAUCUAAGCGUGAAGCCCCCCUCAAGAUGAGAUUUCCCAUAGAGUUAAUCUAGUAAGACCCCUUAUAGAUGAUGAGGUAGAUAGGUCUGGUGUGGAAGCAUGGUGACAUGUGGAGCUGACAGAUACUAAUCGGUCGAGGGCUUAACCAA
rnacentral:rRNA from 1 species